GACAGUGUGGUGUAGUGGUUGAACUGCUGGACCAAGACUCUGGGAAACUAGGGUUCAAAUCCCUGCUCAGUCC